rnacentral:rRNA from 1 species
AUGCAAAACACCAAGCCCCUACUACCGGCCAUGGCGUUCGCCGACGAGUACAAGGACGUGGAGGCCCACGACAACACCAAGUUGCACGUCAUCCACACCAACGACAAGAAGCAGGUGGCGAUCACCCUCGCGCAGUACGAGCGCCACCUCAGCCUCCAGCGCCACAAGAUCGUCGGCAUUGAUCUCGAGUACAACAACGAGCCUGAAGCGACGCAGAAACCCGCCCUCUGCCAAUUCUCCAUCGGCAAGAAACACCCGGUGCUGCUCUUCCAACUGAGCGCCGUUGAAAGGUGCACCGUCUUCGACAACUUCCUCGCCGACCCCAGGUACACCUUUGCAGGCUUCUCCAUCGACGGCGACAAAAAAAGGCUAGAGCGCGUCAAUCUGGAGGUCGCCAACUUCGUCGACAUCCAGAAGGAGUGGAGGGUGCCCGAGGCAACCAAGGAGUUGGACUCCCUUGGAGACGUCUUCGGCAUGCUCAUCGACGACUACUACAACAACAUGAAGAAGAAGAUCACCGACGACGAGCACAAGCGCUGGGCCACCCUGCCUCUGUCCAUGAGGCACAUCGAGUACGCGGCAAAGGACGCCUACGAAGCGUACGAGAUAUGGAAACACAUCACCCUCACACAGGACGGGCUUCGCCGUGCAAAGCUGGAGAAGGAGGAGCCCCCCAAGAAGCGCGCCAGGAGCAGCUGGGGAUGGGGAGACGCUGACUGA